GCUUGUCUCAAAGAUUAAGCCAUGCAUGUCUAAGUAUAAGCAAACUUGUACUGUGAAACUGCGAAUGGCUCAUUAUAUCAGUUAUAGUCUACUCGAUAGUACCUUACUACUUGGAUAACCGUAGUAAUUCUAGAGCUAAUACAUGCGUUAACUCCUGACCUCACGGAAAGGAUGCACUUAUUAGAUACAACCAACCCUUCGGGUCCCUGGUGAAUCAUAAUAAUUGAGCGAACCGCAUGCUUCGGCGGCGGUGGUUCAUUCAAGUUUCUGCCCUAUCAGCUUUCGAUGGUAGGGUAUUGGCCUACCAUGGCGUUAACGGGUAACGGAGAAUUAGGGUUCGAUUCCGGAGAGGGAGCCUGAGAG
rnacentral:rRNA from 1 species